rnacentral:rRNA from 1 species
AGAGUUUGAUCCUGGCUCAGAUUGAACGCUGGCGGCAUGCCUUACACAUGCAAGUCGAACGGCAGCACGGGUGCUUGCACCUGGUGGCGAGUGGCGAACGGGUGAGUAAUAUAUCGGAACGUACCCUAGAGUGGGGGAUAACGUAGCGAAAGUUACGCUAAUACCGCAUACGAUCUACGGAUGAAAGUGGGGGAUCGCAAGACCUCAUGCUCAUGGAGCGGCCGAUAUCUGAUUAGCUAGUUGGUGGGGUAAAAGCCUACCAAGGCGACGAUCAGUAGCUGGUCUGAGAGGACGACCAGCCACACUGGAACUGAGACACGGUCCAGACUCCUACGGGAGGCAGCAGUGGGGAAUUUUGGACAAUGGGGGCAACCCUGAUCCAGCAAUGCCGCGUGAGUGAAGAAGGCCUUCGGGUUGUAAAGCUCUUUUGUCAGGGAAGAAACGGGAUUUUCUAAUACAAAGUCCUAAUGACGGUACCUGAAGAAUAAGCACCGGCUAACUACGUGCCAGCAGCCGCGGUAAUACGUAGGGUGCAAGCGUUAAUCGGAAUUACUGGGCGUAAAGCGUGCGCAGGCGGUUGUGCAAGACAGAUGUGAAAUCCCCGGGCUCAACCUGGGAAUUGCAUUUGUGACUGCACGGCUAGAGUGUGUCAGAGGGGGGUAGAAUUCCACGUGUAGCAGUGAAGUGCGUAGAGAUGUGGAGGAAUACCGAUGGCGAAGGCAGCCCCCUGGGACAACACUGACGCUCAUGCACGAAAGCGUGGGGAGCAAACAGGAUUAGAUACCCUGGUAGUCCACGCCCUAAACGAUGUCUACUAGUUGUCGGGUCUUAAUUGACUUGGUAACGCAGCUAACGCGUGAAGUAGACCGCCUGGGGAGUACGGUCGCAAGAUUAAAACUCAAAGGAAUUGACGGGGACCCGCACAAGCGGUGGAUGAUGUGGAUUAAUUCGAUGCAACGCGAAAAACCUUACCUACCCUUGACAUGUACGGAACUUACCAGAGAUGGUUUGGUGCUCGAAAGAGAACCGUAACACAGGCGCUGCAUGGCUGUCGUCAGCUCGUGUCGUGAGAUGUUGGGUUAAGUCCCGCAACGAGCGCAACCCUUGUCAUUAGUUGCUACGAAAGGGCACUCUAAUGAGACUGCCGGUGACAAACCGGAGGAAGGUGGGGAUGACGUCAAGUCCUCAUGGCCCUUAUGGGUAGGGCUUCACACGUCAUACAAUGGUACAUACAGAGGGCCGCCAACCCGCGAGGGGGAGCUAAUCCCAGAAAGUGUAUCGUAGUCCGGAUUGUAGUCUGCAACUCGACUACAUGAAGUUGGAAUCGCUAGUAAUCGCGGAUCAGCAUGUCGCGGUGAAUACGUUCCCGGGUCUUGUACACACCGCCCGUCACACCAUGGGAGCGGGUUUCACCAGAAGUAGGUAGCCUAACCGCAAGGAGGGCGCUUACCACGGUGGGAUUCGUGACUGGGGUGAAGUCGUAACAAGGUA